CAGUCGCCGCGGUAAUACGUAGGUGGCAAGCGUUGUCCGGAAUUAUUGGGCGUAAAGGGCUCGCAGGCGGUUUCUUAAGUCUGAUGUGAAAGCCCCCGGCUCAACCGGGGAGGGUCAUUGGAAACUGGGAAACUUGAGUGCGGAAGAGGAGAGUGGAAUUCCACGUGUAGCGGUGAAAUGCGUAGAGAUGUGGAGGAACACCAGUGGCGAAGGCGACUCUCUGGUCUGUAACUGACGCUGAGGAGCGAAAGCGUGGGGAGCGAACAGGAUUAGAUACCCCGGUAGUCCCUGUCUCUUAUAC
rnacentral:rRNA from 1 species